rnacentral:sRNA from 1 species
UCGAAUGGAGAGGUCGCCGGACCUAAGU